UUUAGUGGCGAACGGGUGCGUAAUACGUGAGAAUCUGCCCUUAGGAGGAGUAUAACUGUUGGAAACGACUGCUAACACUCCAUAUGUCGAGAGAUGAAAUAAUUUAUUGCCUAAGGAUGAGCUCGCGCCUGAUUAGCUAGUUGGUGAGGUAAUGGCUCACCAAGGCCACGAUCAGUAGCUGGUUUGAGAGAACGAUCAGCCACACUGGGACUGAGACACGGCCCAGACUCCUCCGGGAGGCAGCAGUGAGGAAUUUUCCGCAAUGGGCGAAAGCCUGACGGAGCAAUACCGCGUGAGGGAUGAAGGAUUUUGGUCUGUAAACCUCUUUUCUCAAGAAAGAAGUUCUGACGGUACUUGAGGAAUAAGCAUCGGCUAACUCCGUGCCAGCAGCCGCGGUAAUACGGGGGAUGCAAGCGUUAUCCGGAAUCAUUGGGCGUAAAGCGCCUGUAGGUUGUUUAAUAAGUCUGUUGUUAAAGACUAGGGCUCAACCCUA
rnacentral:rRNA from 1 species